rnacentral:rRNA from 1 species
AUUGAACGCUGGCGGCAUGCCUUACACAUGCAAGUCGAACGGCAGCAUGGGAGCAAUCCUGGUGGCGAGUGGCGAACGGGUGAGUAAAGUAUCGGAACGUGCCCAGUCGUGGGGGAUAACGUAGCGAAAGUUACGCUAAUACCGCAUACGAUCUAUGGAUGAAAGCGGGGGAUCGCAAGACCUCGCGCGAUUGGAGCGGCCGAUAUCAGAUUAGGUAGUUGGUGGGGUAAAGGCUCACCAAGCCGACGAUCUGUAGCUGGUCUGAGAGGACGACCAGCCACACUGGGACUGAGACACGGCCCAGACUCCUACGGGAGGCAGCAGUGGGGAAUUUUGGACAAUGGGCGAAAGCCUGAUCCAGCCAUGCCGCGUGCAGGAUGAAGGCCUUCGGGUUGUAAACUGCUUUUGUACGGAACGGAAAGGUUUGGGCUAAUAAGCUGAGCUCAUGACGGUACCGUAAGAAUAAGCACCGGCUAACUACGUGCCAGCCGCCGCAGUAA